GGGGUUGUAGCUCAGUAGGUAGAGCGGUGGUUUGAAAGUCCACAGGUCAGAGGUUCAAUUCCUCUCGGCCCCACCA
rnacentral:tRNA from 1 species